rnacentral:rRNA from 1 species
AUUGAACGCUGGCGGCACGCUUAACACAUGCAAGUCGAACGGUAGCAGCAUCGAGUUUCUAGCUUGCUAGAAACAUGAUGGCUGACGAGUGGCGGACGGGUGAGUAACACGUAGGAAUCUACCUUAAAGCGGGGGACAACUCGAGGAAACUCGAGCUAAUACCGCAUACCUUCUUCGGAAGAAAGCUGGGGACCCUUCGGGGCCUGGUGCUUUAAGAUGAGCCUGCGCCGGAUUAGCUUGUUGGGGUGGUAAAAGCACACCAAGGCAACGAUCCGUAGCUGGUCUGAGAGGACGAACAGCCACACUGGGACUGAGACACGGCCCAG